CUGACCUUCCUCUUGUCCUUUCUCGCCUUUCCUUCCCUUUCUUUGCCCAUUACCUCUUUCCAAAAAGGGAAUAAGGCCGUCCUUUUGGGUCACUUAAUUUUCACAACGACACAGUGAGGCACUGCUCUCCUCAUUCCCAUUUUACAGAUGGGAUGCCGAGUUUCGGUGGUCGGCCAGGCCCAUGCGGUGGUGGAGUGAGGACUGGAACAGUGGCAUGUGUGACUC
rnacentral:lncRNA from 10 species